rnacentral:rRNA from 1 species
CCUACGGGAGGCAGCAGUGGGGAAUAUUGGGCAAUGGGCGCAAGCCUGACCCAGCAACGCCGCGUGAAGGAAGAAGGCUUUCGGGUUGUAAACUUCUUUUCUGAGGGACGAAGAAAGUGACGGUACCUCAGGAAUAAGCCACGGCUAAUUACGUGCCAGCAGCCGCGGUAAUACGUAGGUGGAAAGCGUUAUCCGGAUGUAUUGGGGGUAAAGGGUGUGUAGGCGGGAAAGCAAGUCAGAUGUGAAAAAUCAGGGCUGAACACUGAGCCUGCAUUUGAAACUGUUGUUCUUGAGUGCUGGAGAGGCAAGCUGAAUUCGGUGUGUAGCGGUGAAAUGCGUAGAUAUACGGAGGAACACCAGUGGCGAAGGCGGAUUGCUGGACAGUAACUGACGCUGAGGCGCGAAAGCGUGGGGAGCAAACAGGAUUAGAUACCCGGGUAGUC